rnacentral:rRNA from 1 species
GAUGAACGCUAGCGGCAAGGCCUAACACAUGCAAGUCGAGGGGUAGAAUUAGCUUGCUAAUUUGAGACCGGCGCACGGGUGCGUAACGCGUAUGCAAUCUACCUUGUACAGGGGGAUAGCCCAGAGAAAUUUGGAUUAAUACCCCAUGGUAUAAUUAAUUUGCAUGAAUUGAUUAUUAAAGUUCCAACGGUACAAGAUGAGCAUGCGUCCCAUUAGCUAGUUGGUGUGGUAACGGCAUACCAAGGCGACGAUGGGUAGGGGUCCUGAGAGGGAGAUCCCCCACACUGGUACUGAGACACGGACCAGACUCCUACGGGAGGCAGCAGUGAGGAAUAUUGGUCAAUGGUCGGAAGACUGAACCAGCCAUGCCGCGUGCAGGAAGAAGCAUCUAUGGUGUGUAAACUGCUUUUGUACGGGAAGAAACACUCCUUCGUGAAGGAGCUUGACGGUACCGUAAGAAUAAGGAUCGGCUAACUCCGUG